GUUGCUGGUGGCUGUAGGGAGAGCUGUGCAGGUCCCUGCUUUAUUGGAAGUCUCACACCGGCUGACAGCAAGGCCAGGAAAGGGACAUCCACGCAGAAGAUGUGAGAGCCCAGGGACAUGCUGAAUUCCAGCAGCCAUGUUAAGGAUACGCCAGGAUGAGCCUGAGAACAAACUGGGGAUGACAGAGCAGAAAAGUGGACAGAACCUGGGUCCUUGAGACACAUCUUUGAGCUAUUGAAUUAAUCACCUCUGGAACCUCCUUACUUCUAAAAUUUUAAUGAGAGAACUUCUUCAUUCCAAAAGGAAAUGCAGUAGCCAUUAAAAAAUAUCUGCUCA